rnacentral:rRNA from 1 species
GAUCGGCCCGCGUCUGAUUAGCUAGUUGGUGGGGUAAUGGCCUACCAAGGCUACGAUCUAUAGCUGGUCUGAGAGGAUGAUCAGCCACACUGGGACUGAGACACGGCCCAGACUCCUACGGGAGGCAGCAGUGGGGAAUCUUGGACAAUGGGCGCAAGCCUGAUCCAGCCAUGCCGCGUGAAUGAUGAAGGCCUUAGGGUUGUAAAAUUCUUUCGUCAGGGACGAUAAUGACGGUACCUGAAGAAAAAGCCCCGGCUAACUUCGUGCCAGCAGCCGCGGUAAUACAAAGGGGGCUAGCGUUGUUCGGAAUUACUGGGCGUAAAGCGCGUGUAGGCGGAUUUGUAAGUUGGGGGUGAAAUCCCGAGGCUCAACCUCGGAACUGCCUCCAAAACUACAAGUCUGGAGCAAGAUAGAGGCGGGUGGAAUUGCGAGUGUAGAGGUGAAAUUCGUAGAUACUCCCAGGAACACCAGUGGCGAAGGCGACUCGCUGGAUCUUUGCUGACGCUGAGACGCGAAAGCGUGGGUAGCAAACAGGAUUAGAUACCCUGGUAGUCCACGCUGUAAACGAUGAAAGCUAGUUGUCGGCACGCAUGCGUGUCGGUGACCCACCUAACCCAUUAAACCUCUCCCCCUGGGGAAU